rnacentral:snoRNA from 1 species
AAGACUAUACUUUCAGGGAUCACUUCUAUAGUUUGUUACUAGAGAGGUUUCUCUGAUUGUGUAGAGCACCAGAAACCACGAGGAGGAGGCACAGCGUCCUCUCCUGAGCGUGAAGGCGGCUCUUGGUGUUGUUUUCGCCACAACCUGCCAUUUGAUGAUUUGAUGAUCGUUCCUGCUCUCCUUUGGGGGAGCAAGAGGGAGAGAAUGCAGUCCGAGUGU